rnacentral:rRNA from 1 species
GACGAACGCUGGCGGCGUGCUUAACACAUGCAAGUCGAACGGAGUGGCGAACGGGUGAGUACCACGUGGUUGAUCUGCCUUGCGCUUCGGGAUAAUCUUGGGAAACUGGGUCUAAGACCGGAUCGUGCAAAAUGCGCUAGCGGCCUAUCAGCUUGUUGGUGGGGUAAUGGCCUACCAAGGCGUCGACGGGUAGCCGGCCUGAGAGGGUGUACGGACACAUUGGGACUGAGAUACGGCCCAGACGCCUACGGGAGGAAGCAGUGGGGAAUAUUGCACAAUGGGCGGAAGCCUGAUGCAGCGACGCCGGGUGGGGGAUGAAGGCCUUCGGGUUGUAAACUCCUUUCGAAAGGGACGCGGUACCUGUAUAAGAAGCACCGGCUAACUACGUGCCAGCCGCCGCGGUAAUUC